rnacentral:lncRNA from 1 species
GCUUAUGUUUUAAUAUUAUGUGUUAUUUUAGUGUGUGAUUGGGCUUGGACCUUAUGUGUUUAAGUCAGGUCCAAGAAGAGUGUCUUAGGGUUUUAUUUGUUUUUCUCCUUACUAUAUAAGGAUAAGAAACAAUUGUAAGAGGCAGCUUUUAAUCAAAAUUUCAGAAUUAUUUUCAUGCCUUUGGCGUGUAUUGCUUUGAGUGAGAGUGAGGAUUUGCUUUCAUCAAUUGCACCAUGAAUCUUGGCUAACUUAUCAACUAUUCGUUGUGGCGUUUGUCAGAUUCUCAUCUAAAUCCUUCGAUCAUUGGUGUUUCAGCUUCUCUAAGUUUGGGGUGCCAUAGGAGGUGGGUUUAUCAAAUCUUUGGAUUCCAUAUCUACUUGUGCGUAUAGGAUUGAAGCUUGUGCCAUAGGGUUCCGCGUCAGUUGGUAUCAGAGCCAAAGUGAGGUAAAUUCUUAUUUAUCUCAGGAUCUAGAGUUAUUUUUUUGAGUUUUCUUUUCUUCGUUAUUGAUUUCGGUGAAAGCUUUUGUAUUCAUGGC